rnacentral:sRNA from 1 species
UACAAACACGUUAAUGCGACUGUUAGCC